UACGAAGGGGGCUAGCGUUGUUCGGAAUCACUGGGCGUAAAGCGCUCGUAGGCGGAUCUUUAAGUCAGAGGUGAAAUCCCAAGGCUCAACCUUGGAACUGCCUUUGAUACUGAAGAUCUUGAGUUCGGGAGAGGUGAGUGGAACUGCGAGUGUAGAGGUGAAAUUCGUAGAUAUUCGCAAGAACACCAGUGGCGAAGGCGGCUCACUGGCCCGAUACUGACGCUGAGGCACGAAAGCGUGGGGAGCAAACAGG
rnacentral:rRNA from 1 species